rnacentral:rRNA from 1 species
GAUGAACGCUGGCGGCGUGCCUAAUACAUGCAAGUCGAGCGAACAGACGAGGAGCUUGCUCCUCUGACGUUAGCGGCGGACGGGUGAGUAACACGUGGAUAACCUACCUAUAAGACUGGGAUAACUUCGGGAAACCGGAGCUAAUACCGGAUAAUAUAUUGAACCGCAUGGUUCAAUAGUGAAAGACGGUUUUGCUGUCACUUAUAGAUGGAUCCGCGCCGCAUUAGCUAGUUGGUAAGGUAACGGCUUACCAAGGCAACGAUGCGUAGCCGACCUGAGGGGGUGAUCGGCCACACUGGAACUGGGACACGGUCCAGACUCCUACGGGAGGCAGCAGUAGGGAAUCUUCCGCAAUGGGCGAAAGCCUGACGGAGCAACGCCGCGUGAGUGAUGAAGGUCUUCGGAUCGUAAAACUCUGUUAUUAGGGAAGAACAAAUGUGUAAGUAACUAUGCACGUCUUGACGGUACCUAAUCAGAAAGCCACGGCUAACUACGUG